AUGACACUUUCCCCGCAUCCUAUCAUUGUUUACAUCACACGGAGAGAUAGUUACAGAGUAAGUAUAUUGUGUAAGCUGGCAUGAAAUCGAUUGUAAUGUUAUUGCUACAUCUGUGUCGUAAGAAUGGAAAAGCUAAUUGUAAACAUUAUUAUACAGUGUGAUCUCUGGUGUCAAAUACCUAUGAUGCACGUACAGUACCAUUGGUUUCGGCAUCGGUAGCUAACUUUACCAGUUGAAACAGCCACCACUUGUCUGCAUUUUCAAUCAUAUUUUUACAAUUGUGGGGUUUUGAAAAUAUGCUUGGCCUAACAUGAGGGUGUCUGUGUGUGUUAGAAGUAACAUUUUGCGACAUAUGGUGUGACUAGCAGAAAGGCUAUGGCUAACCUUGGGUGUAGGCAGUUAUCAUGAGUUGUGGGGGACACAUACAGAGCAUAGUGUUGCGAAAACAAACGGUAUUUUGUUAGACAUUAACAAGAACCAGAUGUGUGAUAACGGUAUCUAGGGUAUGAGCGCAUAGAUAUUCUACACAGCAACAGUUACAUCUAUCAACUGGAGUGCCUGGGGGGCUGGGACCAGCCUGUGCCCCAACGAUAGGCUGAGUGAGUUUAAAUCACGCCCAGUCUUUACUCUGACAGGCCAGCUCGGAAGCAGGAACUACUUCUGUCAGAGUAUUAAAGAAGAUACCGUUAGGGUGUUGGCCAGUUCUCUGUUCUGCCCUGCGUGGUAUUACAGCGAACCCGUAUAUAUGAAAAUUGCAUUUACCAUGUAUUGCUUAAGUUAAUAAAAAGUGUUAAUAGAAUAAAAUCGAUGUUUCUGAAAUUCACUCUCUAACCUGAAACCAGAUUCGAAUUGACGCAACCCCUUACAGAAUCGUAUCUAUUUUAAUGCACAGUAUUGCUUAAAUUCGUGCUUUGUUUUAUGGUAUAAGACAUCUGUGAAGUUGUUAUAGUUGUGAGAUCGUGUGCACGUGACGCAGGCUACAGUACAGUAAUGUUAUCAUGCUACAGUAGUUUCUUUUCUGUUCCAGUGUAUGUGGCAGUAUCAGUCAUGUAUUAGCUAAUGCAUGUAUUAUGUUAGCUAGUUUAAUGGUGUUUGGUAGGCAGGCAUUCAAUUCCCUUGACAUUCUGCAAACAUGAAUACUUUACAGUAAGGAAUGAUCUGCAUUGCGUUAGUCUUACUAUUUGCCCGUUAAAUCUCACAUGCAUUGAAUGCUAAACAACUUUACCACAUGCUUUCCAUAAAUGCAGUGUGUACUUUGCAAAGAUGAAAACCCUUCCAUGAUGACACUCCCGUCCUGUAUCUGUCAUAUAGACCUAUGCAUUCUUUGUCCUAUAGCUAGCUAACUAAAUCUAGUAGCUGUCACUUACCAUCCAUGCUGCUGCUUGGCUGUAGAUAUGCUCUCAUGGUGUUGAGAAUGAUUAAUACUGUAGCUGUCACUUAUGUAUUCUCUGUAUGUAUUAUGUAUGAACCCUUGGACGUACAAGUACCUCCAGUGCUCGCUCCUGCCUCACGGCAGGCCUGCCCUGGGUGAUCUACCCCAGGCUUCUGUCUUUCCCCCGGUGGGGUGAAGACUAGCAGAAGAGGGCGAUGUCCUUCUUGCCUCAGAAAGUGCUAGGCAUCAGCAGGGGUGGAUUGGCUGGACGCUCAUCAGCAGGGGUGGAUUGGAAGUUCACAAUUCAUCACUGACUUGCUUGAGAGACACCAGACCAACGUUGGUCCAGUGUGAACUGGCGGCCAGCAGUGGACUGCCCGACCUCCUUCUUUGCAUAUCCACUGUUCCUCUGGAUGCCCCUUUGUAUGUAGGCAUUUAAGCUGACAUGCCCCCAGGCUGGGUGAGGGCACAAUUCAUCAUAGACUUGCUUGAGACACCAGAUUAAUGAUGGUCCAGUGUCCAGUGUUGUUUUCCACAUUUUGUACAGGUGUGGCAUGUGGUGUGAGCUGAUGUUCAAUGUUCCUCUCCUGUGAAAAUGUAAAGUUAUUUAUUUUUGCAGACUUAAGUAAAUAUUUUUUUUUUAAAUUAA